rnacentral:pre_miRNA from 1 species
GCAGCCGGGUUCGAAAUUUCAAUACUUUUAACCGAUUUCGUUAAAUUUGAUUUUUUUUUGGAAAAGUAUUUAAAUUUCGAACCCGGCUGC